AACGAACGCUGGCGGCAGGCCUAACACAUGCAAGUCGAGCGCCCCGCAAGGGGAGUGGCAGACGGGUGAGUAACGCGUGGGAAUCUACCUAGUGGUACGGAAUAGCCCCGGGAAACUUGGAGUAAUACCGUAUACGCCCGAAAGGGGAAAGAUUUAUCGCCAUUAGAUGAGCCCGCGUUGGAUUAGCUAGUUGGUAGGGUAAUGGCCUACCAAGGCUACGACGGUUAGCUGGUCUGAGAGGAUGAUCAGCCACACUGGGACUGAGACACGGCCCAGACUCCUACGGGAGGCAGCAGUGGGGAAUAUUGGUCAAUGGGCGAAAGCCUGAACCAGCAAUGCCGCGUGAGUGAUGAAGGCCUUAGGGUUGUAAAGCUCUGUCAGUGGGAACGAAUAAGCCGUUUAAUACACGGUGGUGACGGUACCCACAAAGGAAGCACCGGCUAACUC
rnacentral:rRNA from 1 species